rnacentral:pre_miRNA from 1 species
AGUGGGAUAACUGGGUCAAAUGGUGGUUCCAUUUCAAGUUUUCUGAAGAAUCUCCAUACUGCUUUCCAAGAGUGGUUGCACCAAUUUGCAGUCCCACCAGCAAU